rnacentral:snRNA from 1 species
AUACUUACCUGGCGCGGGGGAUACCGUGAUCAAGAAGGCGGUGCCUCCAGGACGAGGCCUGUACAUUGCACUCCGUAUGGGCUGACUCCUGCGACUACCCCAAAUCGGGG